UACGUAGGGUGCAAGCGUUGUCCGGAAUUAUUGGGCGUAAGAGCUCGUAGGCGGUCUGUCGCGUCGGAUGUGAAAACUCGGGGCUCAACCCCGACGCCUGCAUUCGAUACGGGCAGACUAGAGUUCGGUAGGGGAGACUGGAAUUCCUGGUGUAGCGGUGAAAUGCGCAGAUAUCAGGAGGAACACCGGUGGCGAAGGCGGGUCUCUGGGCCGAUACUGACGCUGAGGAGCGAAAGCGUGGGAGCGAACAGG
rnacentral:rRNA from 1 species